rfam:Brassica oleracea var. oleracea cultivar TO1000 chromosome C1, whole genome shotgun sequence
GAAAAAGUGGCUCAGAGGAUUAGAGAACGUGGCUAGGAACCACGGUGUCGGGGGUUCGAAUCCCUCCUCGGUCC